rnacentral:rRNA from 1 species
CCUACGGUGAGCAGCAGUGGGGAAUAUUGGACAAUGGGCGAAAGCCUGAUCCAGCCAUGCCGCGUGUGUGAAGAAGGCCUUCGGGUUGUAAAGCACUUUCAGUGGGGAAGAAAGCCUUGGGGCUAAUACCCUCGAGGAAGGACAUCACCCACAGAAGAAGCACCGGCUAACUCCGUGCCAGCAGCCGCGGUAAUACGGAGGGUGCGAGCGUUAAUCGGAAUUACUGGGCGUAAAGCGCGCGUAGGCGGUCUGAUAAGCCGGUUGUGAAAGCCCCGGGCUCAACCUGGGAACGGCAUCCGGAACUGUCAGGCUAGAGUGCAGGAGAGGAAGGUAGAAUUCCCGGUGUAGCGGUGAAAUGCGUAGAGAUCAGGAGGAAUACCAGUGGCGAAGGCGGCCUUCUGGACUGACACUGACGCUGAGGUGCGAAAGCGUGGGUAGCAAACAGGAUUAGAUACCCCAGUAGUC